GCCGGGCACGGUGGCACGUGCCUGUAGUCCCAGCUAUUCAGGAGGCUGAGGCUGGAGGAUCUCUUGAGUCCAGGAAUUCUGGGCUGUAGUGCGCUAUGCCGAUCGGGGACGAUCAGAUGUCCACUCUAAGCUCGGCAUCAAUAUGGUGACCUCCCGGGAGCAGGGGACCACCAGGUUGCCUAAGGAGGGGUGAACCGGCCCAGGUCGGAAACAGAGCAGGUCAAAACUCCCGUGCUGAUCAGUAGUGGGAUUGUGCCUGUGAAAAGCCACUGCAUUCCCACCUGGGCAACAUAGCGAGACCCUGUCUCU
rnacentral:SRP_RNA from 1 species